GCAAUAAUGUUUUCUGCCAAGCUGAUCAUCGCAUAAUAAAGAUUUGAACAUGGCGGGCGCAGAACAUUUCGGAUCCGGAAUGAUUGCAGGGCGUCACAUCUCAUUCAACUGAAUGCGAUGGACAUUUUUACAGGACGCGGAACGAAGUGGUUCCAAAAUGAGCGGCAUCGCGAUUUAAUUUAACGCGGUGGAUGAGAGACUGAUUCGAUUUAGAACGAGUAGCUCGUGAAUUAGUUUGACAACUUGAAGAAGAAGGAACAAAAGAAAGUUUGACAAUUCCAAUCCAAAAAAGAAGGAGGAAAAAUAUUGAGCACCAGUGGAGCAACUUAGCGAAUCAUCGUAACUACCCUGCUGACAACUUUACUGUUGCGCAUCGGACGCUUACGUACUCUCGUCACCGAAUUGAAAAUAAAAGAACCGCAGCCGGUUCAUCGCGUCGCGCGUUUUAUUUCGGGAGUGCCGUUUAAGUUAUCGGACUAAAACUUUUGUAAAUAAUUAGUCCGCGCGCGAUUAUAAUAUAUUGUUGCGAGUGUUUUUCGCGAGUGUUCAACGGGAAAAGGAGGAAGAGGAGACCUGACAACCAAAAUGUCUUGAGAGAAGACAUCGGGCUUAAAUGCUGCAAUUUUUGAUAUCAUCGCAGCUACGUGAUAAAGCAGCAACUCAAUUCUGAGAGGAGAAGGAGGCCUAGGAGAGGCAUCAGGCCUCAGCGGAGCAACUUUGGGGUAAAUAUAAGUUUUUCUUUAUAUAAAAUUUACAAGUUUCUCCUAUCU
rnacentral:lncRNA from 13 species